AGCUGGAUCAUUUUUCCGAAAAGAUCAAAAAAAAAGAAGAGCAGCAGCCCCCUCCGAGAGAGAGAGGUUGCACACAAAAAAAUAUCGCACCCUAAAAAAGUGUGAAAAAAAAACAAAGUUGCCACUCCAAGUUAUUCUUUGGAUACUGGCUUUCACAACGUGUCGCGAUGGAUGACUUGGCUUCCCAUUUCGUUGAAGAACGCAGCAAAGUGCGAUAAGUGGUAUCAAUUGCAGAAUCACUCAUUACUGAAUCUUUGAACGCAAAAGGCGCUCGGGAGAAGCUCUUCUUGAGUCAUCCCCGUGCAUGCCGUAUCGCUCAGUGUCGAACAUCUUCAUUCAGAAGAACAAAAAAAAAAGAGAUGACUAAUGAUGGGUGCUCAAAAGUCACACCACAUUAGAGAUUCAGAAGAAAAAAAAGAAAACGAGCACAAAACAAAACAAAAAAAUUGACAGACCUGAGUGCGGCAGGACUACCCGCCGAACUUAAGCAUAUUGCUCAGCGGAGGAAAAGAAAACAACCGUGAUUCCCUCAGUCAGCGGCGAGCGAAGAGGGACCGAACUCGUUGCCGAAUCGGGUCGAAAAGGCCUUGAGUUGUGGCACGUGUUGCUUAGUGAUUGGCAUCAGGGACUGGCGAAAUUCAACGUGCAAAGCAAACCCAUUGUUGAACACAACCCUUCAUGUGAGUAUUGAGCCCAAGUAGGUGUCAGCCCACUGAAGCCAGCGCCCAAUGCCACAUUUGGCAGCUCAAAGAGAGUAGCACUGCUUGGGAAUGCAGUGUCAAGCGGCAGGUAUGUGUCUGCCAAAGUUAAACACAGAUUGGGAAGACCGAUAUCGAACAAGUAGCGUGAGCGAAAGUUUGAAAAGCACUUUGGAAAGAGAGUGACAUAGAACCUGAAGUCGUGACAAUGACAAUGAAAGUACCUCCAUUUCAUGUCAAACCCAGCUCUGCAGCAUUAUCCCUGCCUAUCAAACGGCGGUGGCAACCAAGUGCAGAAAAGGAGACUGGAAAAAACAGCCGAGGUAAAGGCGAUUGCAUUGGUUUCAAUGAGCAGUUGUCUUCUCGGUGCGCUCAAUGUUGACGAAAGGGAAUGGGGUGCCUUCACCCGUCUUGAAACACGGACCAAGGAGUCAAACAGACACGCAAGGGGGAAGAUAUUUGCCAGUACUUCUCUCGUACUGAAAGGGUAUUAUGGUGUGCACACAAAAACUGCCCAACACCAACCGCUCCUCCGGGAGUGAGUUUGAGUGUGCCUGUUUGGACCCGAAAGGUGGUGAACUAUGCCUGAACAAGGUGAAGCCGGGGGAAACCCAGGUGGAGGCCUGUAGCGGUGCUGACGUGCAAAUCGCUCGCAUGAUUUGGGUAUCGGAGCGAAAGACUCAUCGAACCACCUAGUAGCUGGUUCACAU
rnacentral:misc_RNA from 1 species